GAGUUUGAUCCUGGCUCAGGAUGAACGCUGGCGGCGUGCCUAAUACAUGCAAGUCGAGCGAACAGAUAAGGAGCUUGCUCCUUUGACGUUAGCGGCGGACGGGUGAGUAACACGUGGGUAACCUACCUAUAAGACUGGAAUAACUCCGGGAAACCGGGGCUAAUGCCGGAUAACAUUUAGAACCGCAUGGUUCUAAAGUGAAAGAUGGUUUUGCUAUCACUUAUAGAUGGACCCGCGCCGUAUUAGCUAGUUGGUAAGGUAACGGCUUACCAAGGCAACGAUACGUAGCCGACCUGAGAGGGUGAUCGGCCACACUGGAACUGAGACACGGUCCAGACUCCUACGGGAGGCAGCAGUAGGGAAUCUUCCGCAAUGGGCGAAAGCCUGACGGAGCAACGCCGCGUGAGUGAUGAAGGUCUUCGGAUCGUAAAACUCUGUUAUUAGGGAAGAACAAAUGUGUAAGUAACUGUGCACGUCUUGACGGUA
rnacentral:rRNA from 1 species